AGAUAUUGAAGUAAAAAAUUACAUUUAGUUUCGACCUAAAAUUAAGGCUUAUAAUCUUAGCCUCCUAUCUA
rnacentral:tRNA from 1 species